rnacentral:rRNA from 1 species
GAAUAUUGGACAACGGGCGAAAGCCUGAUCCCGCCAUGCCGCGUGUGUGAAGAAGGUCUUCGGAUUGUAAAGCACUUUUCGUUGGGAGGAAGGGCAGUAAGCGAAUACCUUGCUGUGUUGAUGUUCCCGACAGAAUAAGCACCGGCUUACCCCGUGCCAGCCGCCGCGGUAAUCCAGAGGGUGCAAGCGUUAAUCGGAAUUACUGGGCGUAAAGCGCGCGUAGGUGGUUCGUUAAGUUGGAUGUGAAAUCCCCGGGCUCAACCUGGGAACUGCAUCCAAAACUGGCGAGCUAGAGUAGGGCAGAGGGUGGUGGAAUUUCCUGUGUAGCGGUGAAAUGCGUAGAUAUAGGAAGGAACACCAGUGGCGAAGGCGACCACCUGGGCUCAUACUGACACUGAGGUGCGAAAGCGUGGGGAGCAAACAG